UAAAUAAUAUGGUGAGAGAUGCAACUAUUUUCCUCUUCAAUAUAUUUCUUUUCUAGAAAGUUGAAGGAAAAUGAAAUUAUUAUGAAUUUGAAUACAUUAGUUUUUAAUUUUUAAAACUAUAAAAAAAAGGGUCGUGUAAAGCCCAAAAUCUGCCCGGGGCCCGAAACUCGGAAGCCCAAAAUCCAAACGCAGCAUGCCUAGGGCGCGCCGCUCCAGCCUCUGCCCAACCCCUCGCACGCCUCUGCUCCGCGCCAGCCUCCACGACGCCCAUACCGUCUGACACCCCCACCACUGUCGACCACGGUCACCUGCAAAGCCAAAAAGCAGGCGCAACAACAAAGAAAAUAAUGUAAAAAAGGAAAAAUAAUUCGGUUAUAAAAACCGAAAAUCUCACUAUUAUUUUCGGCUUCCCUUUUUCACGCACAAGAGAAAUAAAAAAGGAGACUAAGGUUCUUUUCUUUCGGAUCUAUUGUUCCAUUUAUUUUAUUUUAUUUUAAUAUUUAAAAAAACAAAAAUAAAAUAAAGAGGAAGGAGAAUACCUUAGGUCGCCUGAAGAGCCCUUCGCCGGCCACUUCGGUCGGCAGAAAUCGGGACGUGGGGAAGGGACGCUGAGUUUUCUCCUUUCGACCUUGAAGCCUAAGGAUUUCGGCCUUUAAGCGCUUCAAAAGUGGCCCAAGAAGGCGACCCUUGCGCUGCUCCGAUCACCGACGACGGUGGGAGGCACGGCGGCGCGGUGAAGGCUUAGAAGCCAGACCGUCGGUAGGCAUUGGGGGGGGUUUCAAAGAGCCUCCCAUUUUUUCCUCUGAAGAAGGAAGAAUGAAAUUUCAAAAAAAAUAUAGUUUAAAUGACAUAAACUAAAACGGCGCCGUUUUAGGAGGUGACCUGCGCCUCUUUGCCCUAAUGGGCAAUUUGCGCAUUCGAUCCCCCCAUCUUGCGUUGAAGUGCCAUCCAACCUCUUUAUUUCUUUUAGAUUUGGGCUGUAAAUUUUGAUUCUGUUUCAACCAGGUCCUUUGACCGUGUACAGGCCUUUGCGCUGAAACGCUGCGUCUUGGACUGGGGAAUAUUUCCCUGAGGGUCCUUUGAGCCUUGAGCGCGCUUCAUUUCAGCCCCUCCCCUUUUAUUUGCGAAUUUGGUCCCAAAUUAUUGGCCUGAUUCCAAUUCGAUCCUCGACCCUUUUUUUAACUUUAAGUUUUUUAUUUAUUUAUUUUUAUUUUUUAUAAAUAUGCAUGUUUAAAAACCAG
rnacentral:lncRNA from 1 species